rnacentral:rRNA from 1 species
AGAGUUUGAUCAUGGCUCAGAGCGAACGCUGGCGGCAGGCUUAACACAUGCAAGUCGAGCGGGCGUAGCAAUACGUCAGCGGCAGACGGGUGAGUAACGCGUGGGAACGUACCUUUUGGUUCGGAACAACACAGGGAAACUUGUGCUAAUACCGGAUAAGCCCUUACGGGGAAAGAUUUAUCGCCGAAAGAUCGGCCCGCGUCUGAUUAGCUAGUUGGUGAGGUAACGGCUCACCAAGGCGACGAUCAGUAGCUGGUCUGAGAGGAUGAUCAGCCACAUUGGGACUGAGACACGGCCCAAACUCCUACGGGAGGCAGCAGUGGGGAAUAUUGGACAAUGGGCGCAAGCCUGAUCCAGCCAUGCCGCGUGAGUGAUGAAGGCCCUAGGGUUGUAAAGCUCUUUUGUGCGGGAAGAUAAUGACGGUACCGCAAGAAUAAGCCCCGGCUAACUUCGUGCCAGCAGCCGCGGUAAUACGAAGGGGGCUAGCGUUGCUCGGAAUCACUGGGCGUAAAGGGUGCGUAGGCGGGUCUUUAAGUCAGGGGUGAAAUCCUGGAGCUCAACUCCAGAACUGCCUUUGAUACUGAAGAUCUUGAGUUCGGGAGAGGUGAGUGGAACUGCGAGUGUAGAGGUGAAAUUCGUAGAUAUUCGCAAGAACACCAGUGGCGAAGGCGGCUCACUGGCCCGAUACUGACGCUGAGGCACGAAAGCGUGGGGAGCAAACAGGAUUAGAUACCCUAGUAGUCC